rnacentral:lncRNA from 1 species
UGCUCAUGAUAAUAUGCUCUAUCUUUACUUGUCAACAUGGUAUAAAUAUGACCCUCAAGGGGGUCGGGUCAAGCUCAGUGCAAUGAUUGAACUCUACUAGUCAACAUGACAGUAGCAUGAUCCCCGUAGAUAGUAAGAUCAAGCUCAUCAUGCUCAUGCUUCGAGGAGCCAUGUGAAUAACAUCAUCAACAUGCAAGGGAUUUGAAGAAGCCUCCGGUGCCAUCACCACAAUGAUGAACCGGCAACGUGUUCACAUGCAACGGGAAAAAAAUACCAACUAU